rnacentral:ncRNA from 1 species
ACGCCUCUGGAAAGUGGGUUUGCACACCCCGCCGACGGUGAAAACUCGCACUAGCUGCGGGUGAAGCUCUCAGGCGCCCCGUGAAAAGGGGUAUGGACAGAGGGGGAGGG